CAACCAUAGAACGCCAGCUCUCGGGCUAUAUAAAGCGCAGUUCCACAGUGUUUGCGUUAUUCUGUGGUAAGUUUAUGAAGAGAACGGUCAACCUUAAAACACUCUGCUGAGGACAGUACAGGGACAGGACACAGUUGUCAAUAUCAAAUGCCUGUUGCAUUGGAUGUCAUCUGAAAGUCUUAAGUGUCACAUGGACAUGCAGUAUUGCCAUUUAUCCACUUAUACAGUAUGCUGAAAAAUGAUAGUUGAGCUGAUUUGGUUUGUGUUUUAAUUUAAAGGUCCAUUUGACAAACUUCAGGAGCGGGAGGCUGAUCGGAAGGGCACAUCUCAUAACAUGCAGGUGGACAAUAAGAGGUUCAUCCUACAUGCCCUGAUCUCCAACCCUCUGCUUCAACCCAUCGCUCUACAGGCUGCAGUGGGUGUCCUCGCUCAGGGUGAGUUGACCUAUUAUUUCUUCCAGUAGCCCAUCCUUUAAAUUAUAUUUCAUCAACUUUUCCUGUUCACUUUAUUAUUAUUAUUUGGUGGUCACUUGCUGUGUCUAAUGGGGAGACACUUUAGAAGUUACACUGUAGAAGUUACAUCUCUGCACAUUACUUAUUCUGUGGUGAGGGUAAGAACGGUAAACCUUAAAACACUCUGAUAAGAAACACUGCAAGACAGGUAGAAGGGGAAACAUGUUUACCUUAUAAAGCAUUAAGAUAUUCUUUCGUUGAUAUGAUAAUUAAUUGUGUAAACUAAUCCAAAAAUCAGACGUAAAGCCAAACAUUUUUAGAAACAAAACGCUACCAAAUAUGAUUCUAAGUACUAAAGCAUAAACAGUCAAUAUUUAUUUAUUAUAUUAAUUUUUUUGCUUCAGUUUAUAUAUUAAAUAAAAAUUGACUUUAAUUGUUUUAAAACUUUAGGUCGCUCGAAGGUGCUUGUUAUUAGAUUUGCUUGUUUCUUUACUUUGGGUGCAUUGCUCUGUGCAGGACUAUCACUUUAAGCCCACAAUGUGGGGUGCACUCUGUACCGGGUGGGUCAAGGUUUGGGACUGCCAUAAAGACAGGAAUGGCCCUACUUUUAAAACACCUAAGCAUCUAAUGUAAAGAUCUUGUUUUUUAAAAUCACCAAUUUUUCUAACAUUAUAAUCAAUAGAUAUAUUUUUAAUAGAGAUUAUUAUGCAUCGUGUAAAUAUGUAAAAACAGAUGUAAACGCCAACAAGUUUUUUAAAUUAAACGCUAAACUAAUAUGAUUAGAAGUAGGGUCCUGCCCUGUAAUGUGGGUUUGUGGCUCACAGGGCAGGGCCCUAUAGUUAUUAAUUAUGAAAAUUGUUUCAAAAUGUUUCAUAACCGGCCAAUCUCGAUGAGAGGUGUCCGGAGCAUACAUGCAAGCGGGACAGGGCCGCUUGUCGUCCUAGAAGUCUUGGACUUCCAGGGUCUCUGACUGCUCCGGACAAACCUAAUGAGAGGUGUCCAGAGCACACGCGCAAGCGGGACAGGGCCGCUUGUCAUCCUGAAGUCUUAGACUUC